GCGGACGGGUGAGUAACACGUGAGCAACCUGCCUUUCAGAGGGGGAUAACGGCUGGAAACGGUCGCUAAUACCGCAUGAUGUGUUCGGAUGGCAUCAUCUGAACAUCAAAGAUUUAUCGCUGAAAGAUGGGCUCGCGUCUGAUUAGAUAGUUGGUGGGGUAACGGCCUACCAAGUCUACGAUCAGUAGCCGGACUGAGAGGUUGAACGGCCACAUUGGGACUGAGAUACGGCCCAGACUCCUACGGGAGGCAGCAGUGGGGAAUAUUGCACAAUGGGGGAAACCCUGAUGCAGCAACGCCGCGUGAAGGAUGACGGUUUUCGGAUUGUAAACUUCUUUUCUUAGUGACGAAGACAGUGACGGUAGCUAAGGAAUAAGCAUCGGCUAACUACGUGCCAGCAGCCGCGGUAAUACGUAGGAUGCAAGCGUUAUCCGGAUUUACUGGGUGUAAAGGGAGCGCAGGCGGGACUGCAAGUUGGAUGUGAAAUACCGUGGCUUAACCACGGAACUGCAUCCAAAACUGUAGUUCUUGAGUGAAGUAGAGGCAAGCGGAAUUCCGAGUGUAGCGGUGAAAUGCGUAGAUAUUCGGAGGAACACCAGUGGCGAAGGCGGCUUGCUGGGCUUUAACUGACGCUGAGGCUCGAAAGUGUGGGGAGCAAACAGGAUUAGAUACCCUGGUAGUCCACACUGUAAACGAUGAUAGCUAGGUGUGGGGGGUCUGACCCCUUCCGUGCCGGAGUUAACGCAAUAAGCUAUCCACCUGGGGAGUACGACCGCAAGGUUGAAACUCAAAGGAAUUGACGGGGGCCCGCACAAGCGGUGGAUUAUGUGGUUUAAUUCGAAGCAACGCGAAGAACCUUACCAGGUCUUGACAUCCGACUAACGAGAUAGAGAUAUGUUAGGUGCCCUUCGGGGAAAG
rnacentral:rRNA from 1 species